rnacentral:rRNA from 1 species
GGGAAACUGGGUCUAAUACCGGAUAUGACUCCUCAUGGCAUGGUGGGGGGUGGAAAGCUUUUUGUGGUUUUGGAUGGACUCGCGGCCUAUCAGCUUGUUGGUGAGGUAAUGGCUCACCAAGGCGACCACGGGUAGCCGGCCUGAGAGGGUGACCGGCCACACUGGGACUGANACACGGCCCAGACUCCUACGGGAGGCAGCAGUGGGGAAUAUUGCACAAUGGGCGAAAGCCUGAUGCACCGACCCCCCGUGAGGGAUGACGGCCUUCGGGUUGUAAACCUCUUUCAGUAGGGAAGAAGCGAAAGUGACGGUACCUGCAGAAGAAGCGCCGG